GGUCAGGUAGCUCAGUUGGUAGAGCAAUGGACUGAAAAUCCAUGUGUCGGCGGUUCGAACCCGCCCCUGACCA
rnacentral:tRNA from 1 species